GAGCCACCGUUGAAAUACCACCCUGGAUAAUCUGGAAAUCUAACCUACGCCCGUGAUCCGGGCGAGGGACACUGCCUGAUGGGCAGUUUGACUGGGGCGGUCGCCUCCUAAAUCGUAACGGAGGCGUGCGAAGGUUCCCUCAGGCUGAUUGGAAACCAGCCGUAGAGUGCAAACGCAUAAGGGAGCUUUACUGUGAGACCGACAGGUCGAGCAGUUGCGAAAGCAGGUGUUAGUGAUCCGGUGGUACCGGAUGGAAGGGCCAUCGCUCAUCGGAUAAAAGGUACUCUGGGGAUAACAGGCUGAUCGCGCCUGAGAGUUCACAUCGGCGGCGCGGUUUGGCACCUCGAUGUCGGCUCAUCGCAUCCUGGGGCUGGAGCAGGUCCCAAGGGUUUGGCUGUUCGCCAAUUAAAGCGGUACGCGAGCUGGGUUUAAAACGUCGUGAGACAGUUUGGUCCCUAUCUGCCGUGGGCGUAGGACACUUGAGAGGAGCUACCCAUAGUACGAGAGGACCUGGGUGGACGUGCCUCUGGUGAUCCGGUUGUCAGGCCUCUGGCAUAGCCGGGUAGCCAUGCGCGGAACAGAUAACCGCUGAAAGCAUAUAAGCGGGAAGCUGGCCUCAAGAUUAGGUGUCCCUGCCGCAAGGCACUAAAGGCCCCUCGUAGACUACGAGGUUGAUAGGCCGGGUGUGGAAGCGCAGCAAUGCGCGGAGCUAACCGGUACUAAUAGGCCGUGCGGCUUGACCUAAACCUAAG
rnacentral:rRNA from 1 species